UACGAAGGGGGCUAGCGUUGCUCGGAAUCACUGGGCGUAAAGGGUGCGUAGGCGGGUCUUUAAGUCAGGGGUGAAUACCUGAGCUCAACUCCAGAACUGCCUUUGAUACUGAAGAUCUUGAGUUCGGGAGAGGUGAGUGGAACUGCGAGUGUAGAGGUGAAAUUCGUAGAUAUUCGCAAGAACACCAGUGGCGAAGGCGGCUCACUGGCCCGAUACUGACGCUGAGGCACGAAAGCGUGGGGAGCAAACAGG
rnacentral:rRNA from 1 species